UCUUUUUACAACUAACUUUGAAGCUUAUUUUUGGCCAAGUCACUGGAUGUAUCAGUAGGCUAAUGAAUUGUAAUGGUCUAAUUUGGUAACCGUUUAAUUAGUGGUUGUAGAUUAGAAUAUCUAUUUUUGAUAGUUUAGAGAUUGUGACAGUGGCAACACAGUUUUGAAGAUGAAGGACCGACUGGAACAGUUGAAGGCGAAAAUGUGAUGUGGCUGGGGACGAUGUGGAGGUUCCAGUGGAGAACCAAGCCUUUAUGGAUGACUUCUUCGCCCAGAAUGAAGAAAGGAUUUACCCUGGGGAAUCAGUAACAAAGGGGCAAUGCCUUAUGGCAAUAAUGCUCUUUUUUCUGCGUCAUCACCUGACUGGAACUGCCCUGAUAGACCUACUUGCCUUGCUGAAUUUGCUUGUCUCCAACAUCUAAAUAUCUAUUCAAAAAGUUUUUGGGUAAUCCAGCCCUGACAGCUGUCUCUCGUUUAUUUUGUGAUGAAUGCCAAAAUUACUUAGGAAAGCAACCCGAAGACACAAAUUGCUCACAUUGUGGAAUGUUCUUCAUCAGAGAAACGAAAUGUUUUAAUUUUGUCAAUACCUUUGAGGCUCCUUCUGCGAGAUACACUGGAGAACCAUAGAAUAGAUGUUUUGAGGAAAACGGUGAAGGAAGAAGAAUAUGAAAUCGAGGAUGUCAUGGAUGGAAAGAUGUACCAAACAUUACUGAAAGAGAAGAGGCUAUCUGCAUGAACCUGGAACUGUGAUGGAGUACCCAUUUUUAACUCUUCAAAUUACUCAGUUUGGCCCCUUCCAAUUUACCAUAAAUGAACUGCCUCACAUACAUUGGAAAGAAAAUGUGAUGGUUGCAGAAUGGAUACCUUUUUAUUGAUUAAUGUUGCGAUUUAAUCCCAUAACUUUGGAGAGAGAACAGUGGGAUUCUGAAGAGGACAAAGGUCUUCUCCUUGAUUUGUUCCUCAGAUGCAAUUGCCAGGCCAAUCCUUCAUUACUGUAAGCAAUUCAAUGGUGAAUAUGGUUGUGACUGGUGCUUGCACCCCAGUAAAGUUGUCCCCAAAGGCAGAUAUGUAAGAUCCUUACAGUCAACAACUCCAAAUUGAAAGAUCACACAAUCAAUUUAAGUGAUAAUGCAUUUCACGCUGCUCGCACUGACAUUCCGCAAAAUGGUGCAAAGGGGUUGUCAACACUGUUUAUGCUUCUGUUGUCCAACCGAAGAGACAGAAG
rnacentral:lncRNA from 1 species